GAUGAACGCUGGCGGCGUGCCUAACACAUGCAAGUCGAACGGAGUCGUUUUGGAAAUCUCUUCGGAUAUGGAAUUCUCGACUUAGUGGCGGACGGGUGAGUCACGCGUGAGCAAUCUGCCUUCAAGAGGGGGAUAACAGUCGGAAACGGCUGCUAAUACUGCAUAAAGCAUUAAAUUCGCAUGUUUUUGAUGCCAAAGGAGCAAUCCGCUUUUAGAUGAGCUCGCGUCUGAUUAGCUAGUUGGCGGGGUAACGGCCCACCAAGGCGACGAUCAGUAGCCGGACUGAGGGGGUGAGCGGCCACAUUGAGACUGAGACACGGCCGAGUCUCCUGCGGGAGGCAGCAGUGGAAAAUAUCGCGCAAGGGGGGAGACCCUGACACAACAGCGGCGCGUGAUUGAAGAAGGCCUUCGGGUUAUAAAGAUCUUGCAUCAGAGACGAAGCAAAUGACGGUACCUGAUGAAUAAGCACCGGCUAACUACGUG
rnacentral:rRNA from 1 species